GCCGUGGAGGCCGUGGAUCGUCUGGUGGAUGCCUUUCAGGGAGGCAUCAGAUGGAGAUCUAAUAGGAGAAGGAGAGGAAGACGUCGGAGGAGAUGAUUGGAGGCGGUCCCGUUGAGCACUCCUUUAAGAAUAAGGGUACUGCGAAGACACAGUCUCCUUUCUCUAGCACCAAUUGUGUUGGUACAGAAUUUUACCAAAGCCAGAG
rnacentral:lncRNA from 1 species